UAGGGAGUUUUCGGCAAUGGGGGAAACCCUGACCGAGCAACGCCGCGUGAAUGAUGAAGGCCUUCGGGUCGUAAAAUUCUGUUGUAAGAGACGAACUGUGAGGGUAGGAAAUGCCCCUCACUUGACUGUAUCUUACGAGAAAGGGACGGCUAACUACGUGCUUACA
rnacentral:rRNA from 1 species